UCCAGCCAUCUGUAUGCCAAUGCUGCGUGCAUCUUCGAAGACAGGCUUUUCCUGAAGUCAGAAACCACAUGGAACAGCACAGAUGGAAAGGAAACUGUCUGCACUUUCUGUCUGUGUGCUAGGUGCUCCUAGCUUACUCUUACAGGACUUCUACCCUGACUUCCCCAGCAUGGAAUUCACCCCAAGUUUCUGUUUUACCCACUGUAACAAUGUAAUUGUUAUUGGUCAGUCUCCUGUUCCUUGACCCCACCCGGCUCUACCCCUUCUCUCCCUCUCUCCAGGAUCUGGCUGAACUCUCUGUAUAAACCAAGCUGGCCUUGGACUCAGAGAUAUGCGUGCCUCUGCCCCGCAUAGACUGGGACUAAAGGUGUGCACAGCUACACCCUGCUGUUCUUAGCUAGCUCUUCAAAGCUCUUCCUUUCUGACCUCUCAAUGUAAAGAUGAGCAGAAAUCAAAGUUAAACAGUCAUGGAGCCCUGUGAGAAAGGACAGGUCCCCUGUUGCCAGACCACUGGCCGCCAACCGAGACUUCCUUUCUUUGCAUGUCUCACAUCUCAGCUUCCUCACCUGGAAAACGGAGAUGUUAGAAAUGUGCUUUCAACCCACGGAAAAGUGUGGCCCACAACCUCAUACCUGGAGGACAAAUCAUAAGUAGUUUUGUCAUCAGCUGAAGAUAAAUUUACUGAAAAAAAUUAGGCCCAAGCAUGCAAAAAAGAAAUUUCGGAGAGCUAGAAGUCGAUUAGAGAACAAAGCAACGCAGAACAAAGCAAAACACAGCCAAGCAACAGUAGAACCCCCUUUCUUCGUCAUAGCGUUUUAGAGUUGAAAUAAACAAGCAAAAUAUAAGCAGACAAAAUUGAGACAAACUAAUAUCACUCCAAAUUGCUUCUUAUAGCCCAAGAAAUCUUAAAGCUGCUAAGAAAACAUGUUUAGUGUAUUUUUUUUCUCCACCUGGGCGUUUUAAGCCUGCUUUCUUGACUAUUCACCCGAAAUGGAAACUUGUCGAUGAAAAUGGAUGAGCAGGACUGGAGAGCUGGCUCAGGCAGUGAAGUGCUUGCCCUGAAUGUGAGAGACCUGAGUCUGCUCCCCAGACCCAGGUAGAAGAAGCCAGGUUACUUUGUGAUUGUAGCCACAGGGCUGGCGAAGCCAGGCCAGGAGGAUCCCUGCGUCUCCGGACCAGCCAGUCUGGCAGAACCAGCGGAUAAAAGUGAGAAACUCAGACUAAAAAACCAAGGUGGAGAGGGGCUGAGAAAGACCUUGGGAAUUGACCUCUGGCCUACACAUGCAUAUGUGUAUGCACACACACAGGUAGCCAUGCACAAGAAUGACAAAAUAUCUGUAUUUGGGAGACUCUUGGAUAUGGUUUGGGCAGCUGUGAAAUCUUGGGGUGUGUGUGUGUGUGUGUGUGUGUGUGUUUUAAAUGUUUUAAUUGUCAUUAUUAGUACUAAUUAUGGUAGCAUUUUGAGAGGGUCUCCCCAUAUAGCCCUGACUGGUCACAAGCUCCCCACAUGGAUUGGCCUGGCCUUGAACUCUCAGGAACCUCCUGAUACUGCCUCCAUGUAUGGGGUCACAGAUGUGUGCCACCAUGUUUUUACGUUUAGAAGUAAGCUUGCUUGCUAUUGAUAAAAGCUGUUUUCUCUUGCAUGUUACUAGGUAAAACAUCAUGUUUAAAGUGAGCUGAGAUAACCUAGUGUCCCUUGGUCUAUAUAUAUAAAAAAAUAGAUUAAGUUUUCUGAGCAGGGGACACUGAGUCACAGCUGUGCUGUGAAUUCAGGGCUACUUCUAGGGCGAUGCCAGAUGGAACAGGCUGGUGAUCUGUUUUGUAGGAGUCUAGAGAUGAUGGGCUGCUGCGACCUGGGUGAGGUUGACUUGUCUCAAAGCUCCUGUAUUGAAAUGCAGUUUCCAUUGUGAGGUAUUAGAGUUAGGGCCUUUGGGAGCUGAAUCAAUGAGCCAAAACAAACCUCUUGCUUUAUAAAGUAGCUUGCCUCAGGUAUGUUGUUAUAG
ensembl:processed_transcript Gm15503 predicted gene 15503